rnacentral:rRNA from 1 species
GACGAACGCUGGCGGCGUGCUUAACACAUGCAAGUCGAACGGAAAGGCCCUGCUUUUGUGGGGUGCUCGAGUGGCGAACGGGUGAGUAACACGGGAGUAACCUGCCCUUGACUUUGGGAUAACUUCAGGAAACUGGGGCUAAUACCGGAUAGGAGCUCCUGCUGCAUGGUGGGGGUUGGAAAGUUUCGGCGGUUGGGGAUGGACUCGCGGCUUAUCAGCUUGUUGGUGGGGUAGUGGCUUACCAAGGCUUUGACGGGUAGCCGGCCUGAGAGGGUGACCGGCCACAUUGGGACUGAGAUACGGACCAGACUCCUACGGGAGGCAGUAGUGGGGAAUAUUGCACAAUGGGCGGAAGCCUGAUGCAGCAACGCCGCGUUCGGGAUGACGGCCUUCGGGUUGUAAACCGCUUUCGCCUGUGACGAAGCGUGAGUGACGGUAAUGGGUAAAGAAGCACCGGCUAACUACGUG